rnacentral:tRNA from 1 species
UCCCUGGCAGUCCAGUGGCUAAGACUCUGCGCUUCCAAUGCAAGGGGCCCAGGUUUGAUCCCUGGUUGGGGAA